ACUGAGCAGCACAGUGAAUGCGGCGUCUACCUAUAUAUGUCUAUGCCGGCGUCUGGAGGUCUGCAGCUAGAGUCUGUUGUGGGGUGGUUUGUCUUGCUCCUUUAACUUUAAAAGUUCAUCUCAUUUUGGCUUUGAAAGCAUCGUCACAUUUGACAUGACAGACAACGGUAUUCUCCUAAAUCAUCUUCGCCAAUCUCUCUGGCAGUGUCUUGAACGGAUUCCAACCUUGUUUAACAGCGGCUUGUGAUGUGGGAAGAAAUGUGGACCAUCAAACUGUGCAAGACACCCACAAGGUCAGAUCUUCCAGGACAAAACCUAAAAACAACAAGGAACAACUUAAACACCUUAAUGAUUGGUAGAAAUCCCAGUGAGGACUGGGCAGUUCAUUGGCCUUGGAAGGCCAGGAUAUACAGUAUAUAUAUUGUUUUCUAACAUCUCACCAGCAGGAGUUCUGGAUUUUGAAUGUGAUUUCUCAUUAAAAUCAAAAAUUUAUGGUUUCUAAACCCAAACUCAAGAACAUGUUCUUUCUACUCACCAGUACAUCAUUGC